CAGCAGCCGCGGUAAUUCCAGCUCCAAUAGCGUAUAUUAAAGUUGCUGCAGUUAAAAAGCUCGUAGUUGAAUUUCGGGACCAUCAUGUCGGUCGUGCCUCGGUACGUACUGGUAUUGUUGGUUUCUCCCUUCUGACGAACCAUGAUGUCAUUUAUUUGGUGUUGUGGGAAAUCAGGACUGUUACUUUGAAAAAAUUAGAGUGUCUAAAGCAGGCUCACGCUUGAAUACAUUAGCAUGGAAUAAUGAAAUAGGACGUUUGAUUCUAUUUUGUUGGUUUUUAGGAUCGACGUAAUGAUUAAUAGGGAUAGUUGGGGGCAUUAGUAUUCAAUUGUCAGAGGUGAAAUUCUUGGAUUUAUUGAAGACUAACUACUGCGAAAGCAUUUGCCAAGGAUGUUUUCAUUAAUCAAGAACGAAAGUUAGGGGAUCGAAGACGAUCAGAUACCGUCGUAGUCUUAACCAUAAACUAUGCCGACUAGGGAUCGGAUGAUGUUAAUUUUUUAAUGACUCAUUCGGCGCCUUACG
rnacentral:rRNA from 1 species